AUCACUUCAUAGCCUUUUGGCUAAGAUCAAGUAUAGUAUCUGUUCUUAUCAGUUUAAUAUCUGACAUCAUACAUCCUCCAUAUGAGGACUUUAUAUUAAAUGGAUUUUUAGAGCAGGGAGCUAGAAGAGGGACUUGCUCUGUCUGCUUUACGUAUCAACCUGGUAUUGCAGUACCUCCAGGAAUGGUGCACUUUUU
ensembl:snRNA U2 U2 spliceosomal RNA